rnacentral:lncRNA from 1 species
UCAAAAAAUAAUAAAUAAAGAUGAUAUUGAUUGUGAUGACCAAGAGAUUCAUUUUAAGACACAUCGAUCUUCAUCAUCUUAAAAUAAAAAGGAUAAAUAUAAUAGAUUUCCAUUAUCUCAAGCAAAAACAAAGAGUUCAAAAUAUUGGUGGUAAGAAUUGUCAAAAACUUGUGAUAGCUAAGAUGAAGAGUUUUAUGACAAAUUCAUUCAUGAUCAAAUUUAAUAUGGCAGCUGGAAAAGACAAAGGAUCAUUUUAGUCUAACCAAGCUAUACAACUUAAUAAAAGUUUGUGCAUCGACUGCUCACUAAUCAUAAAAAGAGUCGAUUGUCGAUGCAAUAACUACUGAUUCGUUAAAGCUGGCAACUUUUA